rnacentral:rRNA from 1 species
UACAUCGGAACGCGUCCUGUAAUGGGGGAUAACCUGGCGAAAGCCAGGCUAAUACCGCAUACGUCCUGAGGGAGAAAGCGGGGGAUCGCAAGACCUCGCGUUAUAGGAGCGGCCGAUGUCGGAUUAGCUAGUUGGUGGGGUAAAGGCCUACCAAGGCGACGAUCUGUAGCGGGUCUGAGAGGACGGCCCGCCACACUGGGACUGAGACACGGCCCAGACUCCUACGGGAGGCAGCAGUGGGGAAUUUUGGACAAUGGGGGCAACCCUGAUCCAGCCAUUCCGCGUGAGUGAAGAAGGCCUUCGGGUUGUAAAGCUCUUUCGGCCGGGAAGAAAUCGUGCGGGCCAAUACCCUGUAUGGAUGACGGUACCGGAAGAAGAAGCACCGGCUAACUACGUG